rnacentral:rRNA from 1 species
UACGGGGGGUGCGAGCGUUGUCCGGAAUUACUGGGCGUAAAGGGCUCGUAGGUGGCCAACUAAGUCGGACGUGAAAUCCCUCAGCUUAACUGGGGAACUGCGUCCGAUACUGGAUGGCUUGAGUUUGGGAGAGGGAUGCGGAAUUCCAGGUGUAGCGGUGAAAUGCGUAGAUAUCUGGAGGAACACCGGUGGCGAAGGCGGCAUCCUGGACCAACACUGACGCUGAGGAGCGAAAGCCAGGGGAGCAAACGGG